rnacentral:lncRNA from 1 species
NNNNNNNNNNAGCUCCAGGUCGCCCUCGGGGCCAUCCUGACCCGGAUCCAGCGGCUGUGAGUGACCCGCGACCCCCCCAAAAUAUGGGACCCCCACCCAAAAAAAUAUGGGACCACCCAAACAAAAUAUGGGACCACCUCAGAAAAAAUAUGGGACUACCCAAAAAAAAAUAUGGGACCACCCCCAAAAAAAUAUGGGACCACCUCAGAAAAAAUAUGGGACCACCCCAAAAAAAAAUAUGGGACUACCCAAAAAAAUAUGGGACCACCUAAAAGAAUAUGGGACCACCCAAAAAAAAAUAUGGGACCACCCCCAAAAAAAUAUGGGACUACCCAAAAAAAUAUGGGACCACCCAAAAGAAUCUGGGACCACCUCAGAAAAAAUAUGGGACCACCCAAAAAAAAUAUGGGACUACCCAAAAGAAUAUGGGACCACCCCAAAAAAAAUAUGGGACUACCCAAAAAAAUAUGGGACUACCCAAAAAAAUAUGGGACCCCCCCCAAAAUAUGGGACCACCCAAAAAAAUAUGGGACCACCCAAAAAAAAUAUGGGACCACCCACAAAAAAAUAUGGGACCUCCCAAAAGAAUCUGGGACCACCCCCAAAAAAAAUAUGGGACCACCUCAGAAAAAAUAUGGGACUACCCAAAAAAAUAUGGGACCACCCAAAAGAAUCUGGGACCACCCAAAAGAAUCUGGGACCACCCCCAAAAAAAUAUGGGACCACCCCAAAAAAAUAUGGGACCACCUAAAAGAAUAUGGGACCACCCCCCAAAAAAAUAUGGGACCCCCCCCAAAAAAAAUAUGGGACCACCCAAAAAAAUAUGGGACCACCCCCAAAAAAAUAUGGGACCACCCAAAAGAAUGUGGGACCACGCACAAAAAAAUAUGGGACCACCCAAAAGAAUAUGGGACCACCCCAAAAAAAUAUGGGACUACCCAAAAAAAUAUGGGACUACCCAAAAAAAUAUGGGACCACCUCAGAAAAAUAUGGGACUACCCAAAAAAAAUAUGGGACCACCCAAAAAAAUAUGGGACCACCCAAAAGAAUCU